UACGGGGGAUGCAAGCGUUAUCCGGAUUUAUUGGGUUUAAAGGGUGCGUAGGCGGCUUGGUAAGUCAGCGGUGAAAUUUAGGGGCUCAACCUCUACCGUGCCGUUGAUACUGCCGGGCUAGAAUGCGGAUGCCGUGGGAGGAAUGUGUGGUGUAGCGGUGAAAUGCAUAGAUAUCACACAGAACACCGAUUGCGAAGGCAUCUCACGAAUCCGCAAUUGACGCUGAGGCACGAAAGCGUGGGGAUCAAACAGG
rnacentral:rRNA from 1 species